AGAGACAUUUGGGAAUUUUGAAAAAGCAUAAACCCUCCUCUCCGCCAUUGCUGCUCUUCCUCCCUGCUUCAGCCGAGCUCUCAAUGGGCGACCGCGACAGAGCUCGCGACCGAGACCGCGACCGCGACCGCGACGCUUACAGAGAGCGGGACCGGGAAUGGGACCGAGACCGUGACCGGGAGAGAAGACGUGACAAGGAAUCUGACCGUGACCGGGAGCGCGACCGGGACCGGGAACGCGACAGGGACCGAGAGCGGCGGAGCAAGCGUUCUCGCACUCCAGACGACCCGAGAUCCCGCCACGCCCGGUCCAGGACUCGGUCCCCCGACGACAGGUCCCACCGGCGGCACCGGCACAAGGACAGUCCAUCGCCCUCACCGGCGAGGAAGCGGCACCGGCGGGACUCCCCGGAGCGGGAGGACAGGGACCGGGAUAGGGAGAGGCAGAAGGUGGUCUCGGACUUCGUGGAUGGAAUCGCUAAGGAGCAUAACAGCAAGAAGGAGAAGGGUAAGGACGGCGGCGCUGGUGGAGGGGUGGGAGAGGAAGGGAUGGAGGACGAUGAGAUCGAGAUGAUGAAGAAGCUAGGGAUUCCAGUCGGUUUUGAUUCAACCAAGGGGAAGCCCGUCCCGGGGGCUGACGUAGGUGGCGUCAGGCCCGUGACGAAGCGGCAGCCCCGCCAGUACAUGAACAGGAGAGGAGGGUUUAACAGGCCUUUGCCGGCGGAGCGGAACCGGUAGCAACCAUUUUGAGGGAUAAUGGAUAAGAUCAGUUACUUUAGAUGGUGAUGUGACUCGGGAUGUUUGAUAGUUAGAUUGACUUCGAUGCACAACCUAAUCUUUAGAUCUUGUGGGGGCAAACUAUUGGCUUAGGUGGUGAGUGCUCGCGGAAACUACAACCUUUACACUGGCAUUCAACUAUCGGAGCCUCAAGAAUGUGGAGUUGCACAUUGCGAAUACAAUGUCUAGUGCCUGCAGGAUGCACAGGAGCCUGUGAUUUGUCUCGAAAGGAUCAUAAAGCAUGAACAAUGGUAUGUUGCGUGAAGUUCCAUAGCCUAACGCUAUUCUUAUCAAGCAACUAAUGGGUUGUCUCACGUAGCGAUCCUUGAGCAUUGUUCUGUGGUAAUUCGGGAUGCCUUGGAUAGGUGAGAUGUAGUAGUAGACUUGCAUAUUCUUCUGGGUUGAACACAUAAUGUGGACCAGAUCUGAUGGUGCAUAUUAUUUUUAACACAUAUGAAAAAGUUAUCUUAUCGGCAUAA